rnacentral:lncRNA from 1 species
UAAGUAAUAGUUGUGUGAUAAGCCUAAAUUUGUUUUGAUGAUUAAUUAAUAUGCACUGAGAACAAGUAAAUUGGAGAAUUCACACCAGUUAUGAAACUUGAAUUAAUACCCUCAUGGCUAUCCAACCUUUUGUAAAUCCAAUCACGCUCUGAAUUGACCAAGUUCCUAUUUAAUAUUAAAAUAAAUAAGACCUUAAAAUUCUUUAUUUAAUAAGACAUCAUAAUGCUUUUUGUAUGUAAUUAAGUGAACAAUGUG